CUUAAUUUAUAGCCAAGCAAAACCUAUGAAGCCAAUAUAUGCUUCCGAUGUGGGACUUUUUGGUGUACCAAACAAUAUAAUGUACACGUCGUCACUUGAGUUCCUGAUAUUUCUGUUUUGUCCAUAUUGAAAACAGGUUUCUAACCUAAGGCAUAACAGAUUGAGACUAAUUGAAUGGUAGGGGCUGCGCGAACGCAAACCCCUUCUGCCACAAAUAAUGACGUAGGAUCCUCCUCAAGGGAAGACCUUAGGCAUAGCACCCCAACGGUAUGUGCAAUGCGGUCACUAGCCUAGGCCACUCGUCUUGUUGAUCGCGAGUAGACCCCGUCCAGGUAAGUAAUUUGCUCGAAACGUCUGCUUCUCUAUAUAUACUCUGCGUCCCCUUGUCAUUAUUUUGGAUCUAAGCGAUGUGGGAC
rnacentral:sRNA from 1 species